GACGAACGCUGGCGGCGUGCCUAAUACAUGCAAGUCGAGCGGAAGUUGGAGAGCUUGCUCUUCAACUUUAGCGGCGGACGGGUGAGUAACACGUGGGCAACCUGCCCUGCAGAUCGGGAUAACUCCGGGAAACCGGUGCUAAUACCGAAUAGUUUUCGCCACCCCCUGGUGGAGUACGGAAAGACGGUUUCGGCUGUCACUGCAGGAUGGGCCCGCGGCGCAUUAGCUAGUUGGUGGGGUAACGGCCCACCAAGGCGACGAUGCGUAGCCGACCUGAGAGGGUGAUCGGCCACACUGGGACUGAGACACGGCCCAGACUCCUACGGGAGGCAGCAGUAGGGAAUCUUCCGCAAUGGACGAAAGCCUGACGGAGCAACGCCGCGUGAGUGACGAAGGUUUUCGGAUCGUAAAACUCUGUUGUGAGGGAAGAACAAGUACCAACUAACUACUGGUACCUUGACGGUACCUCACCAGAAAGCCACGGCUAACUACGUGCCAGCCGCCGCGGUAAGAC
rnacentral:rRNA from 1 species